AGCGAACGCUGGCGGCGGGCCUAACACAUGCAAGUCGAACGAAGUCUUCGGACUUAGUGGCGGACGGGUGAGUAACACGUGGGAACGUACCUUUUGGUUCGGAACAACUCAGGGAAACUUGAGCUAAUACCGGAUAAGCCCUUCGGGGGAAAGAUUUAUCGCCAUUAGAGCGGCCCGCGUUAGAUUAGCUAGUUGGUGAGGUAAAGGCUCACCAAGGCUACGAUCUAUAGCUGGUCUGAGAGGAUGAUCAGCCACACUGGGACUGAGACACGGCCCAGACUCCUACGGGAGGCAGCAGUGGGGAAUCUUGCGCAAUGGGCGAAAGCCUGACGCAGCCAUGCCGCGUGAAUGAUGAAGGUCUUAGGAUUGUAAAAUUCUUUUACCAGGGACGAUAAUGACGGUACCUGGAGAAAAAGCCCCGGCUAACUUCGUGCCAGCCGCCGCCGUAA
rnacentral:rRNA from 1 species